rnacentral:lncRNA from 1 species
GACAAAAAAAAAAAAAAAAAAAAAAAAAAAAAGGUCCAUGGCUUUUAAAGAAAACUCAGCACAUGAUCUCGUGGAUGGGACCCAGCAGAGAAAUGGGACCCAAGCAGCUUUUGGAGCUCCAUGUGGCUCAUAACAGCUGGUGCACGCGCGGUUCACAGGGAGAAACCCACGCGUGGCUCACAGAGAACAAAGGAGCGCGACUUUUUGGAUGGCACCCGGC